ensembl:lncRNA
CACUGAUCAGAGCAGAAGUUGGGGUCAGACCCAGGGUCGGCCAUAGUUCAGGGGGUUUCUCCGUCAAAUAAUCAACCAUCACGCUACUUGCUCUCUCCCCUUUCUCCAACACCGUAUCAAUGACACAACGUGCUUUGUCUUCUCUGUUUGUCUUCCCCUCUACAGUCUUCUUCUCCUCGUCGUUCAACACAUUCAUCUCCCUCAGGUAAUGCAGGAGAUUGAUGAAAUCGUUGCAUGACAACAUGUAGACUAAUUUAGAGCGAAUCCUUUCAAGUUCUGAAAGACAAAUCAAGAGAAAAGGCAAAUUAAAUAAAGUAAAAGAAAAUUCUCAACGUAAUAAUCUGCAUUGAUAAUUUCUGGGAAAAUAAUUUAUCAAUUCUUUAAAAUCACAACUCCCCUAUGAAACACACACACACACACACACACACACACACACACACACACACACACACACAGUUUAUCCGUGAUUCUGGGCCCCUACAG